GGCGGCGGGGGGCGCGGAGGCCGGCCCGGCGGCCUGGGGUGUCGGCUCGGCCUGGGGUGUCGGCUCGGGCGUCGGCUCGGGCUCGGGCGUCGGCUC
rnacentral:tRNA from 1 species